rnacentral:tRNA from 1 species
GGCGCCUUGGCAGAGUGGUUAUGCAGCGGAUUGCAAAUCCGUGUACCUCGGUUCGAUUCCGGGAGGCGCCU